GGGCUCAGGGAUGGGAGGCCAGGAUGAAGACUAGUCCUUAAUCCCCAACACUGGCCUUGCUGUCCCCAG
ensembl:miRNA